CUACAGGGGUAUCUAAUCCUGUUCGCUCCCCACGCUUUCGCUCCUCAGCGUCAGUUGUUGCCCAGAGACCCGCCUUCGCCACCGGUGUUCCUCCUGAUAUCUGCGCAUUUCACCGCUACACCAGGAAUUCCAGUCUCCCCUGCAACACUCCAGUCGGCCCGUAUCGACUGCAGACCCGGAGUUGAGCUCCGGGAUUUCACAGCCGACGCGACCAACCGCCUACGAGCUCUUUACGCCCAAUAAUUCCGGACAACGCUUGCACCCUACGUAUUACCGCGGCUGCUGGCAC
rnacentral:rRNA from 1 species